UACGGGGGGGGCAAGCGUUGUUCGGAAUUACUGGGCGUAAAGGGUCUGUAGGUGGCCAAUUAAGUCAGACGUGAAAUCCCUCAGCUUAACUGGGGAACUGCGUCUGAGACUGGAUGGCUCGAGUGCAGGAGAGGAAUGCGGAAUUCCAGGUGUAGCGGUGAAAUGCGUAGAUAUCUGGAGGAACACCGGUGGCGAAGGCGGCAUCCUGGACCGACAUUGACGCUGAUGAGCGAAAGCUAGGGGAGCAAACGGG
rnacentral:rRNA from 1 species